rnacentral:rRNA from 2 species
AAGGCUGAAACUUAAAGGAAUUGACGGAAGGGCACACCAGGAGUGGAGCCUGCGGCUUAAUUUGACUCAACACGGGAAAACUUACCAAGACCGAACAUUAGAGGGAAUGACAGAUUAAGGGUUUUUUCAUGAUUUAAUGGCGAGUGGUGCAUGGCCGUUCUUAGUUGGUGGAGUAAUUUGUCAGGUUAAUUCCGGUAACGAACGAGACUGAAACUUAUUAAUUAGUAUAUUUUCCAUGAGAAAAUAUUGUGGUAAAACACACGAGAGAAUGCGACUACUUAAAAGGACACAUUUCAAUUGAUUAUAAAUAAAUUAUUGUUCAACCACUUUGUGGAAGGCAUAUUUAAUUAUAAUAAAAGAAAAAGGAAGCAUUCAGCAAUAACAGGU